GUGAAAACCCCGUAUGCGACCGGCGACCAAGCCCAUGUGAAACUCCUUCGACGAGUCGAGUUGUUUGGGAAUGCAGCUCAAAAUGGGUGGUAAAUUUCAUCUAAAGCUAAAUACCGGCCAGAGACCGAUAGCGCACAAGUAGAGUGAUCGAAAGAUGAAAAGCACUUUGGAAAGAGAGUCAAACAGUACGUGAAAUUGUUGAAAGGGAAGCGCUUGCAACCAGACCUGCCCGCGGGCGAUCAGCCGUCCUUCUGGGCGGUGCACUCGACCGCGAUCAGGCCAGCAUCGGUUCGGGCGGCCGGAUAAAGGCCUCGGGAACGUAGCUUCUUUCGAGGAGUGUUAUAGCCCUUGGUGCAAUGCGGCCCGCCUGGACCGAGGACCGCGCUUCGGCUAGGAUGCUGGCGUAAUGGUUGUAAGCGGCCCGUCUUGAAACACGGACCAAGGAGUCUAACAUCUAUGCGAGUGUUUGGGUGUCAAACCCAUGCGCGUAAUGAAAGUGAACGGAGGUGGGAACCCGUACGGGCGCACCAUCGACCGAUCCAGAUGUCUUCGGAUGGAUUUGAGUACGAGCAUAGCUGUUGGGACCCGAAAGAUGGUGAACUAUGCCUGAAUAGGGUGAAGCCAGAGGAAACUCUGGUGGAGGCUCGCAGCGGUUCUGACGUGCAAAUCGAUCGUCAAAUUUGGGUAUAGGGGCGAAAGACUAAUCGAACCAUU
rnacentral:rRNA from 1 species